GUGGGGAAUUUUGGACAAUGGGCGCAAGCCUGAUCCAGCAAUGCCGCGUGCAGGAAGAAGGCCUUCGGGUUGUAAACUGCUUUUGUACGGAACGAAACGGUCCUGGCUAAUAUCCGGGGCUAAUGACGGUACCGUAAGAAUACGCACCGGCUAACUACGUGCCAGCAGCCGCGGUAAUACGUAGGGUGCGAGCGUUAAUCGGAAUUCCUGGGCGUAAAGCGUGCGCCGGCGGUGCUGUAAGACAGGCGUGAAAUCCCCGGGCUCAACCUGGGAAUUGGGCUGGGGACGGCAGGGAUGGAGGGCGGCAGAGGGGGAUGGAAUUCCGCGUGUAGCAGUGAAAUGCGUAGAUAUGCGGAGGAACACCGAUGGCGAAGGCAAUCCCCUGGGCCUGCACUGACGCUCAUGCACGAAAGCGUGGGGAGCAAACAGGAUUAGAUACCCCAGUAGUCC
rnacentral:rRNA from 1 species